rnacentral:rRNA from 1 species
GACGAACGCUGGCGGCGUGCUUAACACAUGCAAGUCGAACGGAAAGGCCCUGCUUUUGUGGGGUGCUCGAGUGGCGAACGGGUGAGUAACACGUGAGUAACCUGCCCUUGACUUUGGGAUAACUUCAGGAAACUGGGGCUAAUACCGGAUAGGAGCUCCUGCUGCAUGGUGGGGGUUGGAAAGUUUCGGCGGUUGGGGAUGGACUCGCGGCUUACCAGCUUGUUGGUGGGGUAGUGGCUUACCAAGGCUUUGACGGGUAGCCGGCCUGGGAGGGUGACCGGGCACAUUGGGACUGCGAUACGGCCCAGACGCCUACGGGAGGCAGCAGUGGGGAAUAUUGCACAAUGGGCGGGAGCCUGAUGCAGCAACGCCGCGUGCGGGAUGACGGCCUUCGGGUUGUAAACCGCUUUCGCCUGUGACGAAGCGUGAGUGACGGUAAUGGGUAAAGAAGCACCGGCUAACUACGUG